AUACGUAGGUGGCGAGCGUUGUCCGGAAUUACUGGGCGUAAAGGAUGCGUAGGUGGAUAUUUAAGUGGGAUGUGAAAUCCCCGGGCUCAACCCGGGAACUGCAUUCCAAACUGGGUAUCUAGAGUGCAGGAGAGGAAAGCGGAAUUCCUAGUGUAGCGGUGAAAUGCGUAGAUAUUAGGAGGAACACCAGUGGCGAAGGCGUUUUUCUGGACGUAAACUGACACUGAGGCAUGAAAGCGUGGGUAGCAAACAGGAUUAGAUACCCUGGUAGUCCACGCCGUAAACGAUGGGUACUAGGUGUAGGAGGUAUCGACCCCUUCUGUGCCGUCGUUAACACAAUAAGUACCCCGCCUGGGGAGUACGGUCGCAAGACUAAAACUCAAAUGAAUUGACGGGG
rnacentral:rRNA from 1 species